CCCGCACAAGCAGCGGGGCGUGUGGUUUAAUUCGAUGCUACACGAAGAACUUACCAGGGUUUGACAUACAAGUAGUAGGGAAAGGAAACUGGACCGACCCUUCGGGAGCUUGUACAGGUGCUGCAUGGCUGUCGUCAGCUCGUGUCGUGAGAUGUUCGGUUAAGUCCGCUAACGAGCGCAACCCUCGUCGUAUGUUAUAUGUGUCAUACGAGACUGCCGGUAAAAAGCCGGAGGAAGGUGAGGAUGAUGUCAAGUCAGCAUGACCUUUAUAUCCAGGGCUACACACACGCUACAAUGGUCUGUACAAUGGGUAGCCAAGCCGCGAGGCGGAGCCAAUCCUGAAAGCAGGCCUCAGUUCAGAUUGCAGUCUGCAACUCGACUGCAUGAAGCCGGAGUUGCUAGUAACCGCAGGUCAGCAAUACUGCGGUGAAUACGUUCCCGGGUCUU
rnacentral:rRNA from 1 species